UUGCUGCCACACUUUGGUGCCUCAGAACCUUUGGAUUAUGAUAGUAUGGUGCUGUUGAACCGUCAAAUUUGCACCUUUGAAUUAUGUUAGUAUGGUGCUGUUGAACCUUCAAAUUUGCACCUUUGAAUUAUGUUAGUAUGGUGCUGUUGAACCUUCAAAUUUGCUGCUUUACGUCUCUAUGCUUGCUUGGUUCGUUUUUCUUUCUGUGUGCUUGCUUGGUGCUGUUGAACCUUCAAAUUUGCUGCUUUCCAUCUCUGCUUGUGCUGAAUCUAGAGUGGGUAGAGUGUGCUAAAUAUAUG
rnacentral:lncRNA from 1 species